ACUCCCGUUCUUGGCAGGCCCCGGCUGCUCCGUGCCCGGGUCUGUCAUGUCCGGAGGUAGAGCAGCGCCUCUUUCACGGGCACCCCCUUGCCGUGGGGAAAGAG
rnacentral:snoRNA from 1 species